CGUUCCCGGGUCUUGUACACACCGCCCGUCACACCACGAGAGUUUACAACACCCGAAGUCGGUGAGGUAACCGCAAGGGCCAGCCGCCGAAGGUGGGUAGAUGAUUGGGGUG
rnacentral:rRNA from 1 species